CUCACACGCCGUAAGCCUAAGGUUUCCUGAGGAAGGCUCGUCCGCUCAGGGUUAGUCGGGCCUAAGCCGAGGACGACACGUCGUAGGCGAUGGACAUCCGGUUGAUAUUCCGGAACCACCAGAGAUCGUUUGCACCGCAAGGUGUCGCCUGGCGGAUCCGAUCCGUGGUUGGACCAGCGAAAGCUGGAACGAAGCGGUGAGGUGAACCCAGGUGAGAGCAAGGGCAUGACCCACCACGGUAGUCCCAGCGCGUUAUGGCUAUACGCGUCUAAGCCGGUAGGCGGGGAGGAUAGGCAAAUCCGUCUUCCCAUUCAACGCCGAGCAGCGAAUGAAAGCGGCAUCUGCUGCAAUUGGGGUGAGCCGAGAUGGCAAGAAAAGUGUCUAGCGAGAUCAAAGGUGACCGUACCGCAAUCCGACACAGGUAGGCGGGUAGAGAAUACCAAGGCGAUCGGGAGAACCCUCGUUAAGGAACUCGGCAAAUUGGCCCCGUAACUUCGGGAGAAGGGGCGCCUCGCAACUCGUGCUUGCAUGGGUUGAUCGAGGCCGCAGUGAAAAGGCCCAGGCGACUGUUUAGCAAAAACACAGGUCCGUGCUAAAGCGAAAGCUGACAUAUACGGGCUGACGCCUGCCCAGUGCCGGAAGGUUAAGAGGAGGGGUGCAAGCUCUGAAUCGAAGCCCCGGUAAACGGCGGCAGUAACUAUAACUGUCCUAAGGUAGCGAAAUUCCUUGUCGGGUAAGUUCCGACCCGCACGAAUGGCGUAACGAUCUGGGCGCUGUCUCAACGAGGGAUCCGGCGAAAUUGAAGUACGAGUGAAGAUGCUCGUUACCCACGAUAGGGCAAAAAGACCCCGUGGAGCUUUACUACACCCUGCUAUUGGACUGGGGUUUUGCAUGUGUAGGAUAGGUGGGAGGCUGUGAAGCUGGAGCGCUAGCUUCGGUGGAGCCGACGUUGAAAUACCACCCUUGUGUGAUUUCGGUUCUAACCGCGGCCCAUGAUCUGGGCGCGGGACAAUGGCAGGCGGGUAGUUUGACUGGGGCGGUCGCCUCCUAAAGAGUAACGGAGGCGCCCAAAGGUUCCCUCAGGCUGAAUGGAAACCAGCCGAAGAGUGCAAAGGCAUAAGGGAGCUUGACUGCGAGACCCACAAGUCGAGCAGAGACGAAAGUCGGGCUUAGUGAUCUGGUACCUCCGAGUGGAAGGGGUAUCACUCAACGGAUAAAAGCUACCCCGGGGAUAACAGGCUUAUAGCGCCCAAGAGUUCAUAUCGACGGCGCUGUUUGGCACCUCGAUGUCGGCUCGUCGCAUCCUGGGGCGGAAGUACGUCCCAAGGGUUUGGCUGUUCGCCAAUUAAAGCGGUACGUGAGCUGGGUUCAAAACGUCGUGAGACAGUUUGGUCUCUAUCCAUCGUGGGCGUAGGGAACUUGAGAGGAGCUGCUCCUAGUACGAGAGGACCGGAGUGGACGAACCGCUGGUGUGCCAGUCGUCCUGCCAAGGGCGCCGCUGGGUAGCUAUGUUCGGUUGGGAUAAGCACUGAAAGCAUCUAAGUGCGAAGCUCGCCUCGAGAUGAGGUUCCCCACUGGGUUAACCAGGUAAGACCGCAGGGAGAUGACCUGUUUGAUAGGCGGCAUGUGGAAGCUGGGUGACCAGUGAAGCUGAGCCGUACUAAUGGUCGAGGGCUUGACCC
rnacentral:rRNA from 1 species